rnacentral:rRNA from 1 species
GUCGAGAAUCUUUCACAAUGGGGGCAACCCUGAUGGAGCGACGCCGCGUGGAGGAUAAGGUCUUCGGAUUGUAAACUCCUGUCAUGCGUGAACAAGGUUGCAGGGAUAAUACCUCUGCAAAUUGAUAGUAUCGCAAGAGGAAGAGACGGCUAACUCUGUGCCAGCAGCCGCGGUAAUACAGAGGUCUCAAGCGUUGUUCGGAAUCACUGGGCGUAAAGGGUGCGUAGGUGGCGUGGCAAGUCAGAUGUGAAAGCCCGGGGCUCAACCUCGGAACUGCAUCCGAUACUGCCAUGCUAGAGUACUGGAGAGGUGACUAGAAUUCUCGGUGUAGCAGUGAAAUGCGUAGAUAUCGAGAGGAAUACCAAAGGCGUAGGCAGGUCACUGGACAGUUACUGACACUGAGGCACGAAGGCCAGGGGAGCGAACGGGAUUAGAAACCCGUGUAGUCC